GCCUGGGUGGCUCAGUGGUUGAGCGUCUGCCUUCAGCUCAGGUAAUGAUCCCAGGGCCCUGGGAUUGAGUCCCACAUCAGGCU
rnacentral:tRNA from 1 species